rnacentral:rRNA from 1 species
AUUGAACGCUGGCGGCAGGCCUAACACAUGCAAGUCGGACGGUAGCACAGAGGAGCUUGCUCUUCGGGUGACGAGUGGCGGACGGGUGAGUAAUGUCUGGGGAUCUGCCCGAUAGAGGGGGAUAACCACUGGAAACGGUGGCUAAUACCGCAUAACGUCGCAAGACCAAAGAGGGGGACCUUCGGGCCUCUCACUAUCGGAUGAACCCAGAUGGGAUUAGCUAGUAGGCGGGGUAACGGCCCACCUAGGCGACGAUCCCUAGCUGGUCUGAGAGGAUGACCAGCCACGCUGGAACUGAGACACGGUCCAGACUCCUACGGGAGGCAGCAGUGGGGAAUAUUGCACAAUGGGCGCAAGCCUGAUGCAGCCAUGCCGCGUGUAUGAAGAAGGCCUUCGGGUUGUAAAGUACUUUCAGCGGGGAGGAAGGCGAUGUGGUUAAUAACCGCGUCGAUUGACGUUACCCGCAGAAGAAGCACCGGCUAACUCCGUGCCAGCAGCCGCCGCCG